GAUGAACGCUGGCGGCGUGCCUAAUACAUGCAAGUCGAGCGAACAGAUGAGGAGCUUGCUCCUCUGACGUUAGCGGCGGACGGGUGAGUAACACGUGGAUAACCUACCUAUAAGACUGGGAUAACUUCGGGAAACCGGAGCUAAUACCGGAUAAUAUAUUGAACCGCAUGGUUCAAUAGUGAAAGACGGUUUUGCUGUCACUUAUAGAUGGAUCCGCGCCGCAUUAGCUAGUUGGUAAGGUAACGGCUUACCAAGGCAACGAUGCGUAGCCGACCUGAGAGGGUGAUCGGCCACACUGGAACUGAGACACGGUCCAGACUCCUACGGGAGGCAGCAGUAGGGAAUCUUCCGCAAUGGGCGAAAGCCUGACGGAGCAACGCCGCGUGAGUGAUGAAGGUCUUCGGAUCGUAAAACUCUGUUAUUAGGGAAGAACAAAUGUGUAAGUAACUAUGCACGUCUUGACGGUACCUAAUCAGAAAGCCACGGCUAACUACGC
rnacentral:rRNA from 1 species